rnacentral:lncRNA from 1 species
ACUGUGGAUGCUCUAACACAACACAAUAAACGACUGCCACGAUUUUUUCCUACUUGGAUUAUUUUAAUUUGUUGAUUUGAUUCCACCUUUUGAAGGAAAUUUAGAACAAUAACAUUACAAAAAAAAAAAAAAAAAUGGAUGAAAUUUUUACUAUGGGAUUCUGAUGUGUUCUCUUUCACCAACAAAUAUGGUUUCUGUCAACAAGAGAAU